rnacentral:rRNA from 1 species
AGCAGCAGCCACGGUAAUACGAAGGGUGCAAGCGUUAAUCGGAGUUACUGGGCGUAAAGCGUGCGUAAGCGGUUUGUUAAGUCUGUUGUGAAAUCCCCGGGCUCAACCUGGGAAUGGCAAUGGAUACUGGCAAGCUAGAGUGUGUCAGAGGAUGGUGGAAUUCCCGGUGUAGCGGUGAAAUGCGUAGAGAUCGGGAGGAACAUCAGUGGCGAAGGCGGCCAUCUGGGACAACACUGACGCUGAGGCACGAAAGCGUGGGGAGCAAACAGGAUUAGAUACCCCUGUAGUCCCUGUCUCUUAUAC